GACUUCCGUCCUACAGCCGUGCAGGAUUCUGGGAAGAAAACACCUCGGAGUCCUUGACCCCACGUGGGUGUCCCAUCUGCCUGCACGAGUAGCCAAGCUGGGCAAUGACUGGGAGGUCACUCACACAAGUGCGGGCCUCGUGGAAGGCACAGAAGUCGCUCACAUGUCAGAGGACGCCCUGGGUGGGCAGUGGCUGCUGUGAGGGAGGAGUCUGGACCCGCAGCUCCCUGAAAAUAUCACCUGAAUAAUCUGCUGAUAAACAAACAAAGCUGUGUUUACCCUCAUUGUGCCGUGGGAGGCGACUCAGGGAGGAGGCCAAUGCCAGGAAUCCUCAUCAAGAUUCCGAAGCCUGGUUUAAGGUUGAUUUUCAACUUCAGCGGCCUUGACUGGGACGAGGUUCAUAAUCACCACAGCAGCGAUGAGCGACUAUAGCAAUUCAGGCAUGGCCUUUUCCAACAUCCACCUGGAAGUGACACAGCAACUCCUGCCAUGUUUCAUUGCCCACAUUAAGGAGACAAGGAAUUACAAUGCUACCAUAGAGCCUGAAGAAGGAGAAAUGGAAUAUGUGUGAACUGCCCUUAAUGACUUCCAUGACUUAAGGACUGCAGGUGUGUUCCCUGAGGAUGGGGGACACAUGACUGGUGUCUGACACAGGCCUGAAACUCCAGGCACCUUGGCAGCAGGACUGAGGCUAUGGUGAGACUGGUGCACCUUCCCAUGGUGUCCACAUGGGGAAUGAUGAUGGUGAGCAUAGAGACAACGGUAACCAGCACUUAGCUCGCUCUUACCAUGCAGCCAUCGUUGCGCCGCAUGCUAUCUGUACAUCAACUUGUGUAAGCCCAGACCUGUGGCCCUAAUCGCUGGAGAGCUGCAGGCGCCUUCAUAAGAGGACUACUUGGAGGGUUUCUAGUAUCUGUGCUUUUCCAGGAUAUUGUGCAAGCUGUUGAAAUGCUGAACGCCCCCAGCAAAAUUCACAGACCGAGUAACCACAUUCCUCUGUAACAGAGCAUCUUAGAUGAGUGGGACCUUCCCCUAGUCCCAUUUUCCUCCAAUUUCCAAUUUUGUAGGGGAGCUUCUAGGGAGUGAGGUUGGCCAGCAUCCUGUCUCUGGGACAAACGUUUGUACCCUUGUAUUCGUAUGGUGGCCACAGAGCCACAUGGACAAGCUACAUGAACUUACCCAUCACUGGGGUUUAAACUUAAACAAAAUUGUCUGAUGGGCUGAGUGGGCUUUGAUGGAGGCCAGAGUGUGGCAGGAACAGCAGCGUCCCAGGAGAGAACUCAUACUCAGUGCCUGAGCAUGGUGAUAGAGACAAAUGCUUUAGGGACCAGGUAUCUAGCCUGAGGGACCAGGGUUUUAUGUGGACGUUGAAUAUGCUGUAACUCUUUGGGGCAAUGGUGAGGAUUUCAGAGCUCCAGCUGUGAAGCAGCAUUUUCAUAGAAUUCUUUUGGCUUGGCCUCUCAAAGCUAAGAGAGGGCUAUAUCCUCAUCAUUCCCUUCAUGAUUAACAGGUAGAUAGCUUUGCACAACUCUAGAUGUUCCAUCUACAGGAACCACCACCACCGUGUGAAGUAGGUACUGGUAUUACAUUCAUUUUCUGGAUGAAAACCCUAAAGCACAGAAAGAUGAAACAAUUUGCAGAGACCACACACACAAUAAGUGGAAGAGUCACAUUCCAACCGAGUCAGCCUGGUACCAGACCUUGGAGAGAUAUGAAAAUAAAAGACAAAACAAAUGGAACUACAUGCUAAAGAGCAAAGAACCCCAUCUGCGUGGGCCAAGACUCACUUCACGAGUGUGUUGUCAAGUCUGAGCACAAGAUUGGCCAAGGCAGAGGGCUUAUUGAGGGAAAGGAAAUGAAGCAGUUUUAUGGCCAUAGGAGUUGGCUUGACAGAUUUAGACCUAGAGGAGAACACAAUGACUGGCAGAGUUUCCAUUUCCUGAGUGUGAGGCUGGCAUGUGAGGCUAUAGGGCUGAGCAGGAAAGGCAGAGCAAACUCUCCCCCGGCCUCACUUUGCUUGGGAGAGAUAGCUUUCAUGGGGAGGGAGCACCCUGCAUGGAACGUGCAAUAGAUCUCAACCUGCAAGCAUCCCAAACCAGAA